UGGGGAAUAUUGGACAAUGGGCGAAAGCCUGAUCCAGCCAUGCCGCGUGUGUGAAGAAGGUCUUCGGAUUGUAAAGCACUUUAAGUUGGGAGGAAGGGCAUUAACCUAAUACGUUAGUGUUUUGACGUUACCGACAGAAUAAGCACCGGCUAACUCUGUGCCAGCAGCCGCGGUAAUACAGAGGGUGCAAGCGUUAAUCGGAAUUACUGGGCGUAAAGCGCGCGUAGGUGGUUUGUUAAGUUGGAUGUGAAAUCCCCGGGCUCAACCUGGGAACUGCAUUCAAAACUGACUGGCUAGAGUAUGGUAGAGGGUGGUGGAAUUUCCUGUGUAGCGGUGAAAUGCGUAGAUAUAGGAAGGAACACCAGUGGCGAAGGCGACCACCUGGACUAAUACUGACACUGAGGUGCGAAAGCGUGGGGAGCAAACA
rnacentral:rRNA from 1 species